AAACUUUAGUGCAACUAUCCCCCAAUACUGUAGAAACCCACUAUCCAAUAAAGCUAUUUCAAAAUUACCCUUCCUAUUUAAAAUAAAAAAAACCACAUCCUCUGCAACUACUUUUCUUAUCACCCUCUUCUUCUCAAGAUCUCUCUUCUUCUCAAGAUCGCACUCCUCCACCGCCAACAACGAGGAUCCCGACCGCUGACAGCGCAAGCUGUCCAUCGUCGACCCCUACAGCUUUGAUCCAUCUUCGUCGACGCUCCUUGAUUGUCUUCGCUCCAUCGUCACCCCCUACGGCCAGAAUAAGAAAGCUCGUCAUCGUCUUCGCUCCGACAAGGACCCCGCUAACUGCAAGCUCGACGUCUGCAGCCUCGGCUACCAGUACCGACCCCAAGUCCCUCUUCAUCAUCCGAUUUUUGUUUCUUUUUCUAAUUAAUUUCUUUCUCAUUGCAGACUGCGCAAAAUCACCCUCAAGGUACGAUUAUGGCAUACAUACAUAUUUAUACAUCAAAGUGAUUCUAGAAUGAAAGGAGGCCAUAGAUAUUGAAGCUUUACAAACGGAGUCUGAAAUGUUAAGGGCAUGACUUGCUGCUCAAAUUAUAUGUGAAGGCUGAGAAUUAAGAAGCUGUGAUUGAAGUUAGAUGUAGAUAAUCCUGAAUAUCUUUUAUAUUUUGGAGAUAAUGAUAUCCAAUUGAUUGAGUAGAAGUAUUAGACAAACACGUACAUCAUAAUUCUAUGUUGGAUAUGACUAAUUUCUUUGUAAAUUUUGAGACUUAUGGUGACAAUGAUGAAAUGUGCAUUUGUGAUUAC